GGUUAAGCGACUAAGCGUACACGGUGGAUGCCCUGGCAGUCAGAGGCGAUGAAGGGCGUGCUAAUCUGCGAUAAGCGCCGGUAAGGUGAUAUGAACCGUUAUAACCGGCGAUACCCGAAUGGGGAAACCCAGUGUGAUUCGUCACACUAUCAUUAACUGAAUCCAUAGGUUAAUGAGGCGAACCGGGGGAACUGAAACAUCUAAGUACCCCGAGGAAAAGAAAUCAACCGAGAUUCCCCCAGUAGCGGCGAGCGAACGGGGAGGAGCCCAGAGCCUGAAUCAGCAUGUGUGUUAGUGGAAGCGUCUGGAAAGGCGCGCGAUACAGGGUGACAGCCCCGUACACAAAAGCGCAUGUGCUGUGAGCUCGAUGAGUAGGGCGGGACACGUGGUAUCCUGUCUGAAUAUGGGGGGACCAUCCUCCAAGGCUAAAUACUCCUGACUGACCGAUAGUGAACCAGUACCGUGAGGGAAAGGCGAAAAGAACCCCGGCGAGGGGAGUGAAAAAGAACCUGAAACCGUGUACGUACAAGCAGUGGGAGCCCCACCACCAAAGCAUUCUCUGGUGUUGAAGGCCCUGCAAAGCAGCAUCGCGGUGGCGGAGCGUCGUUUGCGACGCCCAACACACAAAACAAGCGGUGAAUGCUUUGGGGUGGGGUGACUGCGUACCUUUUGUAUAAUGGGUCAGCGACUUAUAUUCUGUAGCAAGGUUAACCGAAUAGGGGAGCCGGAGGGAAACCGAGUCUUAAUUGGGCGUUAAGUUGCAGGGUAUAGACCCGAAACCCGGUGAUCUAGCCAUGGGCAGGUUGAAGGUUGGGUAACACUAACUGGAGGACCGAACCGACUAAUGUUGAAAAAUUAGCGGAUGACCUGUGGCUGGGGGUGAAAGGCCAAUCAAACCGGGAGAUAGCUGGUUCUCCCCGAAAGCUAUUUAGGUAGCGCCUCGUGAAUUCAUCUCCGGGGGUAGAGCACUGUUUCGGCUAGGGGGCCAUCCCGGCUUACCAACCCGAUGCAAACUGCGAAUACCGGAGAAUGUUAUCACGGGAGACACACGGCGGGUGCUAACGUCCGUCGUGAAGAGGGAAACAACCCAGACCGCCAGCUAAGGUCCCAAAGUCAUGGUUAAGUGGGAAACGAUGUGGGAAGGCCCAGACAGCCAGGAUGUUGGCUUAGAAGCAGCCAUCAUUUAAAGAAAGCGUAAUAGCUCACUGGUCGAGUCGGCCUGCGCGGAAGAUGUAACGGGGCUAAACCAUGCACCGAAGCUGCGGCAGCGACGCUGAUGCGUUGUUGGGUAGGGGAGCGUUCUGUAAGCCUGUGAAGGUGUGUCGUGAGGCAUGCUGGAGGUAUCAGAAGUGCGAAUGCUGACAUAAGUAACGAUAAAGCGGGUGAAAAGCCCGCUCGCCGGAAGACCAAGGGUUCCUGUCCAACGUUAAUCGGGGCAGGGUGAGUCGACCCCUAAGGCGAGGCCGAAAGGCGUAGUCGAUGGGAAACGGGUUAAUAUUCCCGUACUUGGUGUUACUGCGAAGGGGGGACGGAGAAGGCUAUGUUGGCCGGGCGACGGUUGUCCCGGUUUAAGCGUGUAGGUGUGUGUUCCAGGUAAAUCCGGUUCACUUUAACACUGAGGCGUGACGACGAGGCACUACGGUGCUGAAGCAACAAAUGCCCUGCUUCCAGGAAAAGCCUCUAAGCAUCAGGUAACACGAAAUCGUACCCCAAACCGACACAGGUGGUCAGGUAGAGAAUACCAAGGCGCUUGAGAGAACUCGGGUGAAGGAACUAGGCAAAAUGGUGCCGUAACUUCGGGAGAAGGCACGCUGACACGUAGGUGAAGUGAUUUACUCAUGGAGCUGAAGUCAGUCGAAGAUACCAGCUGGCUGCAACUGUUUAUUAAAAACACAGCACUGUGCAAACACGAAAGUGGACGUAUACGGUGUGACGCCUGCCCGGUGCCGGAAGGUUAAUUGAUGGGGUCAGCGUAAGCGAAGCUCCUGAUCGAAGCCCCGGUAAACGGCGGCCGUAACUAUAACGGUCCUAAGGUAGCGAAAUUCCUUGUCGGGUAAGUUCCGACCUGCACGAAUGGCGUAAUGAUGGCCAGGCUGUCUCCACCCGAGACUCAGUGAAAUUGAACUCGCUGUGAAGAUGCAGUGUACCCGCGGCAAGACGGAAAGACCCCGUGAACCUUUACUAUAGCUUGACACUGAACAUUGAGCCUUGAUGUGUAGGAUAGGUGGGAGGCUUUGAAGUGUGGACGCCAGUCUGCAUGGAGCCGACCUUGAAAUACCACCCUUUAAUGUUUGAUGUUCUAACGUGGACCCGUAAUCCGGGUUGCGGACAGUGUCUGGUGGGUAGUUUGACUGGGGCGGUCUCCUCCUAAAGAGUAACGGAGGAGCACGAAGGUUGGCUAAUCCUGGUCGGACAUCAGGAGGUUAGUGCAAUGGCAUAAGCCAGCUUGACUGCGAGCGUGACGGCGCGAGCAGGUGCGAAAGCAGGUCAUAGUGAUCCGGUGGUUCUGAAUGGAAGGGCCAUCGCUCAACGGAUAAAAGGUACUCCGGGGAUAACAGGCUGAUACCGCCCAAGAGUUCAUAUCGACGGCGGUGUUUGGCACCUCGAUGUCGGCUCAUCACAUCCUGGGGCUGAAGUAGGUCCCAAGGGUAUGGCUGUUCGCCAUUUAAAGUGGUACGCGAGCUGGGUUUAGAACGUCGUGAGACAGUUCGGUCCCUAUCUGCCGUGGGCGCUGGAGAACUGAGGGGGGCUGCUCCUAGUACGAGAGGACCGGAGUGGACGCAUCACUGGUGUUCGGGUUGUCAUGCCAAUGGCACUGCCCGGUAGCUAAAUGCGGAAGAGAUAAGUGCUGAAAGCAUCUAAGCACGAAACUUGCCCCGAGAUGAGUUCUCCCUGAGACUUUAGGUCUCCUGAAGGAACGUUGAAGACGACGACGUUGAUAGGCCGGGUGUGUAAGCGCAGCGAUGCGUUGAGCUAACCGGUACUAAUGAACCGUGAGGCUUAACCUU
rnacentral:rRNA from 1 species